rnacentral:lncRNA from 10 species
CAGAAUUCCACUACUAAGUAUAAUGGUCACUUGCCAUAGAUGGAGCAGAGUGAAGCAAGAUAAAGCCUGUUGAUUUUUCAAUUCUUGUAGUUUUCCUAAGCUUGCAGGCCUUCAGAUUUAGAGUGGAACUAUACCAUCAUCUCUCCUGUGUCUCCAGCUUUCCAUGUGACCAUAGAACCUCUCAGACUCCAUAAUCAUUAACUUGAACAAGGUUACAGGACAAGUAGAAUAUGGCAGAGAUGGAAUUUGAACUCAAGCAAUCAAAUUCAAAAGACUAUACUCUAAAGCAAUGGCACUCAGGGAGUGAUCCAUCAGUGCCUGUGCACAACAAGGUCCACAACCUGGCAUUUAGUGGUAGGCCUGGAGCUGCUCUUGGUCAACAGUGUCAGAAGUUGGGAAGAAGAGCUGCAUAUCAAGCAGAAGAGAAUGAGAAGAAACAGGAACCCACUUCUGCAUCUGUCUAUAGCAACAUCUGACUAUAACGACCUUCAAAAGAUAAUGGCUGUUGCUUCAUUUCCAACCCUCCAAAUCUCAAGUAGCCUUGUGAUUACAUUGGGCUUACCCAGAUCCAGGUCAUCUAGGAUAAUCUCUCUACCCAAGAUCUUUAACGUAAUCACACCUGCAAAGUCCCUUUUGCGAAGAAAGGUUGUAGAGAAGGUACUGUUCCCAUUGAAAUCAGUAACGGCCAUGUGACCUGAUUUGACUCAUGAAAUUGAUUAGCAACACUCACUGUCAUGACUUCUUCAUCAUCCUGGGUCCUAGAGUGAAGUCCUAGAGCCCAUUAUCAACUCAUGCUAAAUAUGUAGGAUAAGCAAGAAAUAAGAUCUUCCUGCUUGAAGCCACUGAUAUUUUGGACUUUUUGUUACUGCAGCAACAUCAUGCCUAGCCUGACUGAUACAUGGUAUAUAAUCAU